AAUGAACGCUGGCGGCAUGCCUAACACAUGCAAGUCGAACGAAGGCUUCGGCCUUAGUGGCGCACGGGUGCGUAACGCGUGGGAAUCUGCCCUUGGGUUCGGAAUAACAGUUAGAAAUGACUGCUAAUACCGGAUGAUGUCGUAAGACCAAAGAUUUAUCGCCCAAGGAUGAGCCCGCGUAGGAUUAGCUAGUUGGUGGGGUAAAGGCCUACCAAGGCGACGAUCCUUAGCCGGUCUGAGAGGAUGAUCAGCCACACUGGGACUGAGACACGGCCCAGACUCCUACGGGAGGCAGCAGUGGGGAAUAUUGGACAAUGGGCGAAAGCCUGAUCCAGCAAUGCCGCGUGAGUGAUGAAGGCCUUAGGGUUGUAAAGCUCUUUUACCCGGGAUGAUAAUGACAGUACCGGGAGAAUAAGCUCCGGCUAACUUCGUG
rnacentral:rRNA from 1 species